rnacentral:sRNA from 1 species
GCUGGGCAUGGUGGCGCAUGCCUGCCUGUAAUCCCAAUGGCUUGGGAGGCUGAGACAGGAGGAUGGCGAGUUCAAAGCCAACCUCAGCAACUACGAGGCGCUAAGCAACUCAGUGAGACCUUGUCUCUA